AAAAAAGUUACAGGAACGGCUAUUGUGACCCUCAUUCCCUCAUCGUCCACAACGAUUUGUGCUUGAUGAAAGACUUUCACUUGAUUUCUUCUUCCUCCCUUUUCUAUUUCGAUUGUCUUUUAUAUAUCGGUGUAUCAUCGAAGGAUAUAGCUGAAAUAAAAAAACUAAAUAUAAUUAGUAUAUCUAAUAUUUUAGAACUUUUUUAGUACACAUAUAUGUUUAUAUAUACAUAGUUCGGUUAUGUAUAUAUUGGUAUAAAUAUUUACAAUACAUAACAAGUUGUUUUCUAUGUGUUUUCAUAUACAUAAUAACAUAUAUUUUGUAUAUCAACAUAUACUGAUGAUAUGUAUAUGUUGUCCUUGAAUAAAAAUUGUUAACAAUAAAGAUUGUUUUUGAAUAAUUAUAUAUAUGGUGUGUUGAAAAAAAAUCAGACAAAUAUAUAUAGAGCUGAAUUUUGCAAAUAUACAUCUCUGACUACAAUUUUUUUCACCUUUUACAAAAUGAGAACAAAAAAACAAAGAUAAAUAUACAUAAAUAAAGUCAAGAAAAAAAAGCAGGCAUUAAGGAGAGAAUAUACGCAAUAAUGAAUGGGAGAUAAACUAGAAAAUAGAGGAAAAACAAUAAAGAAGCAACGAAGAAGAAACUACAACAAGACGAAGCUAUACACACAAACAAAAAUUCAUACAUCAAAAAAGUUAGAAAAAAAAAAAAAAACAACGAACAGAAAGAUUCUUUUUCCUUUCUUCUUUGCCAUGGAUAGCAGUAGUAACAGAAUAGAGGAAUUUCUCCAUUAACACAAAAAUCUACACCCAUUAAGUUAUGCAUAUCUUGGGAUUUAUGUUAUUUAUAUGGAAUUCCUCAAUCUCUAAUCCAGCCACAAUUGCAUAUAUCAACCUCUAACACGAAAUAUUUCCAACAAUAAUUUCGAUACUUUUUGUAUCGUUCUUGUUGUAUUUUCAGAUUAUCAUACACCUAAAUGCUUCCAAAAGAAUUGCAAUAUUCAUCUUCUUGAAUAAAAAAAAUUGGUUUUUUUUUUGCAAGAGAUGAUAAAUCAGUGAUUAGAUUGUUUGUGAUUUCUAUUUUUUGAUUGAUUUUUUUGUUUAUGUAUUGUUGUUUCAAAAUUUGAAAUAGUAUAGUUGUUACACAAAUUAAGGGAUGCAGUAAUCCAAUAUUAAUGUUGUUGAGUUAAUUGCAUGCUAAAUAGAAGGCAGAUCAGUUAAUUUCCUAUUAAAAUUUCAUAAUUAGAUUUUCAUAUACAUAGGGUCUUACGUAUAUAACAGCUGAAUUAUGUAUAUUAAUCGGGAGUGAGAAUAAAUUAAUUAAGAAGAUGGGAGAAAAGGUAAAUAUAUUUAAUGGGUUGGGAUUUAUGUUAUUUAUACUUGCUUUAAAUAUAUUACGAAAGGUCGGCCCAUAUUUGGCUAGAAAAGCCUUAACUGUCCUCUUACAACUAAAAGAAGAAUGUGAGAAGAAAUAGAAAAACACACACACAUAUAUAUAUAUAUAUAUGUAUAUAUAAAAAAAAAGUGAGGAUGGCUAAAUUUGGUUAUCCCAACAGUGAAUAUAAUAUAUUAAACUUAUUAUUUUAGUACAAAUUGCUAUACGAGGACUUAUUCUCAUUUUACAUUCAUUUUUCUUUUUGAAUUCAUUUCUAAGUGGGAUCUCGAAUUCGUGUAUUAUAAACUUGCAUGAACGCGGAAUCGAAUCAACACACAAUGAAAAAUGCUAGAAAUCCAAAGAGAGAAAAUGAGAGAAGAAAUCUGCAUUUCUGAUAUAACAAGAAAGAAUGGGUAGAAGUGUAAUUGAUUCCCAAGUGUAUCAUAAAUAUAUAUAUAUAUAUAUAUAUAUAUAUAUAUAUAAGCGCAAUUAAAACAUAAGAAACUAAGGUGGAUCGAAUUGAUACUUGGGCUCAAUUGACUGUACAAGCCCAUUCCUAACAUCCCCCUCAAGCUGGAACUCAAACCAAGCUUGGAAACCAGACUCUUGUGCUAGACACUAGUUAGCGGCUUGGUGAGAAGAUCAACCAGCUGCAAGGAAGUAGGGACGUACUGCAAUGAGAUCAAACCAGCUUUCAAUUUUUUCCAUACAAAGUGACAAUCGAUUUUGAUGUGUUUGGCGUAUUCAUGAUAAACCAGAUUCUUUGCAAUGUACAAAGCAACUUGAUUGUCACAAAGAACCUGUACAAGAGACAAAUGUGAGACACCAAAUUCAGCAAUCAACCAACCAACCAAGAAAUUUCUCCCACGAUUUUUCGAAGAGCCCUAUAUUCCACCGCGGCUAAAAAAAAGCAAUUGCGGGCUGCUUCUUGGAUUUUCAAGAAAUAGGGAGCCACCAAUAAAAUAUAGAAGCCGGUGAUAUAUCUUCUAGUUUGAAUACAACCAGCCCAGUCAGAGUCACACAAGCCAAUAAGUGAAAAAUCAGCAGAAGUCAGCUAGGUAACAUAGGACAUGAAAAUCAGUCUCUAAAUGAGGCAUACAAGGGGUGAAGAAACUAGCUGAGAUAUUGAUUAGUAAAUGAGAUAUUGAGUUGCGUAUGCUACAAAUAAUUAAGUUUUCUAACCAACUUUUGAUAUAUGCUAGGAUCAAGGCAAGGAGUACCAACAUUACCAGAUAAUUUGCCACAUAGUUUCAAAGGACUAACCACUGGAGAAGCAUCAGAACACUGAAGUUCAGAUCUUAAGUGAAUUUAUAUUGAGUCACAAGUAGCCCGAAAGGCUGACGAAUAAUAUUUUCAAACAAAGAAAAUAAUAUGCCUCACCCAAAUCCUUGAUUUUAAAACUAUCACCAAAAAAUAUUUCAAGGAAGAAUUUGGGUGGAAUCAUUGCCAACAAGAAAAAUAUCAUUCACAUACACAACAACUAUAGUGAUAAAAUUCCUAGCAGAUUUGGUAAAAUAGAGAAUGAUCAUUUGGACUGAAAAUGAACCCUUUGGACUGUAAAGCUUGGGAUAGUUUAGCAUACCACCGUCGAGAACCUUGUUUCAGUCUAAUAAAUGGAUUUUUUGAGCUUUCAUACAAGAGGACCAGAAGAAGAAUUGAAAUGGGGAACUUGUAAGCCUUACGAAAUCUUCAUGUACACUUCAUCUAAAAGAUCCCUAUGAAGGAGCCAUUAUUAACAUUAAGCUAAAAUAAUUUUUUGUUCUUCUUAUCAGCCACAACAAGAAGGCAUUUAAUGGUAGACAUUUUGACUACAAGAGUGAAAGUGUUAUUGUAAUCAACCCCUUCAAGUUAAUUAUCUCCAUGAAUGACCAACCUAACUUUGUAUUUCUCAAUAGAACCAUCAACUCACUAUUUAAUCUAAUAAAACUAUUUAGACGGUAUGGCCCUCUUGCCCGAAGGUAAAGGGAUAAUGUCCCAAGUCUUGAUUAGCCUAUAAAGUAGCAAAAUUCCUGCAGUAUAGCCUGCUUCUAGGUAGGGUGACCAACAACUUAUUUAUAAUAUUGUGGCUCAAGCAUGCCACUUUUACUAGAAGGACAAGAGUUGGUACUAGAAACAGAGCAACAAAUAUUGUCUUGAAGAUAUGAAGGUGUGGAAUAGUCCUAGAGGAUUUUAUAGGCUGAGGUGGAACUAGAGAAGAGGACGAAAUAACAGAAACAGAAUAAUAAAUAGAAAGAUGAGUGGAAAAAGGAAAUAGAGGAAUAGACGGGGGAUAAGCAUAAUGGGAAACUGAUUCAUGAAAGAGGACACUCCCAGAGAAAACACCUUGUGAGAGGAAAAAAAUAAUAAUUUGUAACCCUUGUUUCUUACAUAAUAGCCAAGAAAGAUAAGAAAAGAAUUUGGAUUGAAAUUUGUCUCUUUGAGGGAUAGGAACAGUGGUAUGGCAUAGACAUCAGAUGCCUUGAGAUGAGAAUAAGAGGGAAGAGUACCACGGAUAAGUUUAAUGGAGUUUUGUUGUGUAGUAGAGGAGAAGGAUAUCGGUUAAUAAGGAAGGUAUCAGUGAGAACAUUCACCUUGAUACUUGACGGGAAGUUUGGAUUGAAAAAGAAAAGCCCGGAAGGUCUCUAACAAAUGUUUGUGCUUUCUUUCCACUAUCCCAUUUUGUUGUAGAGUGUAGGGACAUGACGAUGAAAAAUACCAUAGGAAAAGAAAUAUUGGAUGGCUUCACUGCUAGAACCUAUUUCAAAAGCAUUAUUGUAUCUAAUUGUCUGAAUGUUUACCUUAAACUGAUUUUGAACAAAGAAAAACAAAGACUUAAUCAUAGUGAAAGCGUUGGACUUAGUGGCUAAAACGUGAGUCCAUGUGCAUCUAGUGUAGUCAUCUAUAAUAGUUAGGAAAUACUUGAAUCCAUUGUAUGUUUGGGUAUGAUAAAGGCCCCAAAGAUCAAGAUGUAUCAUGUGAAAAGAUUUGGUGGAAUGAAUAGAACUUUCGCGAAAUAGUAACCUCUAUUGUCUUGCCAUAGGACAUACAAAACAGUGGAAUGUUUACUUGGCAGGUAAAACAGAUUUAAGAAAAGGGAUAGCUUUUGUUUUAGCAAUGGUAUAUGUCCUAACCUUUAAUUCUAGGCCAAAUUAGGACUGGCAGCAUUAGUGGGACCAAGAGAGGUCAUACAAAAAUAAUCAUGAACAUGCAAAGAACUGAUAGAAUUAGUGAAAGAAACAAAAGAAAAACCAUCAAAAGGCAGAAGUAACAGAAUUGAGUUCAAUAGGAGGAACAAUAGUACUAUAUACAUUGUUAUCAUAAAUUUCAGUAGAAAUAGAAAAAGAAAAAUCUGUGGCUUUAGUUGAAAUUAGAGGAGAAUCAAUGCUUAAGACAGAGAAAUUGGAUGUAGUAAACUGGGAAGGGGUAGUUGGUGAUGGAUGGGAGCCAUUCAGCUGAAGCAUACAAAGUCCAUUGGAGAGUUUACUAACUUUCAGUUGUCUCUUCAGUGAAUGUCCAUGUAAAACAGAAGAAGUAGAACUAAACUGAGUUGUACAAUUAAAUUGAAGCAGAAGCUUAUGAAGAGAUAUGAAGUUAUAUUGAAAACUUGGUACUAAUAAAACAUGAUGCAAAGAUAGAUAAUAAUGCAAAGGCCAAUGAUCGGUGCAUGUGACUAUAACCUCUGUAACCAUUGGGAAGAGAGAUUAAAUAAGGUGUAAAAAGAGGUUUAGUAUUGAUUAAAAGGUGUUUGUGAGGAUUCAUGUGGUUGAUGGCUCCAAAAUCUAAGAUCCAAGGAUUGUUAUAUAUCUGGGAAAGGUGACAGAAAGAGAAACAACAUAUAUUAAAUUUAGAAAGACUAGUCAUGCCUACAAAUAUGGUUGAGGCACGCAUUCCAGAAUCAUGCAACCUAUUCUACCGCGUCAUAGUGAGAAGAUGAUCAUGUUGCUCUUUGUUGAAUCCAUGCAGAUCAUCAGAGGGAUGAAGAGAUGAAGUAGAAGGUUGUGAUUGUGAAUGAGCAAAUGGAUAAGUAGGACCUGAUCUAGGUAAGAAAUUAGUUGAUUGAACACAAGCAAUAAUCUUCUUAUCCCUUCUGAACUGAUACAAAGGAUGAUACCCAAAUAACUUGUGACAUUUUAGUACAGAGUGACCAAGUUUCUUCCAAUAUUUGCAAAAUAGUCCCGAAGUACCUUGACCCUGAUUCUGCUAGAAAUUGAGUCUUUGUUGUCAAAAUUCUUAUUGUCAAAACCCAUAUUAGAAUUCCUAUUAUCAAAAUUCAUUCUUAGCCUAUUCUCAAAAUCCACAUUCGAAGGAUAGGGUUUACGACUAGAAGGGCCAGUAAUAGAAAAGGAAACAGAUUUAGAUACAAAUGAAGGAAGAAAUGAUUGAAGCUCAGAGUGUUGUUCAUUAUGAAUCAACAUAGAGUAUACACUAUCUAAAUCUUGAAGAGGUUUAAUCAUUAAUAUAAUUCUACUAAUUCCAAUAUAAGAGUCAUUAAACCAGCUAAGAACUGAUGAACUCUCUAUUCUCCCUUUAGCAUAGACCAUUCCUCCUUACUACUACAAGUACGUGGAGGAUAAAUAGUAGAGAUGGUCAGCUUAUACCGCAAUUUUUUUAAUACGAUUGAAAUAGGAUGCUAUGCUAGAAGAACCUUGAGUUACUGUGGAGAUAUCUUUCCUAAGUUGGAACACCUUGGUUUCACUAGAAUGACAUAUUGGUUUUCAAUCUCGUGCUGAAUUUGUUCAGCAGUUUCGGUGUGAAAAUAAUUUCAGCAAUAUCUUUAUCAAGAUUAUUAAGAAUCCAUGCAAUUACCAUAUCCUUACACAUAAUCCAAGCAUUAUAUAAUGCAUCAGUAGCACGUGCUUUAUGAUGUUUACCAUUUAUGAACCCUAAUUUCUGAUUUGCAGAUAAGUAAAUAAGCAUUCCUCUCUUCCAACUACCAUAUCCAAACCCAUUGAAUGAUGUGGCAACCAAAACCAAACUAGGAUAGUCAGAGAGAUCGAGGUAAAAGGUUGAGUGGAAUCUAUCUGUCCACUCGAACCAGCUGAACCAGUUGAAGACAUUUUACAUAGUAUAGAAACAAUUACCACCAAAAAUCACAAAGUGAAUAGGAAUCGUUACCAGCCUUCUUUACAACUCAACGAAGUAAGAGCCUUGUGCACCAAAUACAAGAAAUCAUCACCAUCGAAAACCUUCUUGAAACCAUCAAAAGGAAUAUCAAUGCGAAAAUCAUCAAAAACCACCUUGAAAGCUAUUGAAAAUCACAGAAAACUGCAGAAUCGAAGUACUCUAAGAAAAAACACUUCAAAAAAAAAAUACCAAAAUAACGCUAGGAAAAAUGUAAAAAUCAGCUUGGUCUAUAAAAUCUCAAUGAAAAUAUUCAAAGGUAACACCUUUCAAAAGAGGAGGAGAAGAUUUAUCAGGAUCUCUGCUCUAAUACCAUAUAAACUUGCAUGAAUACAGAAUCAAAUCAAAAUACAUAACGGAAAACCCUAGAAAUUCAGAGAGAGAAAAUGAGAGGAAAAAACUGCAUUUCUAACGUAAAUUGAAAGAAUGGGCAAAAG
rnacentral:lncRNA from 1 species